rnacentral:tRNA from 1 species
CGGCAAUUCAUCAGUAAUUUGGGGCAGGGGUGAAGGUUUCGCUCCGUUCGCCCGUAUUUCCUGAAGACUUUGUUUGGCAUCUCCU